rnacentral:tRNA from 1 species
GGAGAGAUGGCCGAGUCGGCUGAAGGCGCUCGCCUGCUAAGCGAGUGUACUCCGAAAAGGGGUACCGAGGGUUCGAAUCCCUCUCUCUCCG